CGGCGCACGGGUGAUAACACGUAUCCAACCUGCCGUCUACUCUUGGACAGCCUUCUGAAAGGAAGAUUAAUACAAGAUGGCAUCAUGAGUCCGCAUGUCACAUGAUUAAAGGUAUCCGGUAACAUGGGGAUGCGUCCAUUAAUAGUAGGCGGGGUAACGGCCACCUAGUCUUCGAUGGAUAGGGGUUCUGAGAGGAAGGUCCCCCACAUUGGAACUGAGACACGGUCCAAACUCCUACGGGAGGCAGCAGUGAGGAAUAUUGGUCAAUGGGCGAGAGCCUGAACCAGCCAAGUAGCGUGAAGGAUGACUGCCCUAUGGGUUGUAAACUUCUUUUAUAAAGGAAUAAAGUCGGGUAUGGAUACCCGUUUGCAUGUACUUUAUGAAUAAGGAUCGGCUAACUCCGUGCCAGCAGCCGCGGUAAUACGGAGGAUCCGAGCGUUAUCCGGAUUUAUUGGGUGUAAAGGGAGCGUAGAUGGAUGUUUAAGUCAGUUGUGAAAGUUUGCGGCUCAACCGUAAAAUUGCAGUUGAUACUGGAUAUCUUGAGUGCAGUUGAGGCAGGCGGAAUUCGUGGUGUAGCGGUGAAAUGCUUAGAUAUCACGAAGAACUCC
rnacentral:rRNA from 1 species